CUCGCUCUACAGGAUGGAGAGUCCUCCAGACAUCGUAUAGAUCAUGUAGGGAAAUAAGUUUGGUAAGAGACUUAUUCACCCUCUCUCUAGCUCUAUGGCUGCGACCAGUAGGGGGGCUAUUGUGUCCAAGGGAGUCUGGAUGAAGUUAAAAUCUCCAUAAAGGAGUAGACUGCCCUGUUUCAACUUGUCAAUUUUGCUAAGUAACGAGUGGAGGUAGUUCCUAGGAUUGUCGUUAGGAAAUUAGUUAUACUUAACCCCUUAAGAAUGGAGGCAAUUGUCCAACUUCUGAAUAAAGACAAUACCUAGGAUUCGUG